rnacentral:rRNA from 1 species
AACGAACGCUGGCGGCGUGGAUAAGACAUGCAAGUCGGACGGGGUGAUGGUGCUUGCACUAUCACUUAGCGGCGGACGGGUGAGUAAUGCUUAGGAAUCUGCCUAUUAGUGGGGGACAACAUCUCGAAAGGGAUGCUAAUACCGCAUACGUCCUACGGGAGAAAGCAGGGGAUCACUUGUGACCUUGCGCUAAUAGAUGAGCCUAAGUCGAGAUUAGCUAGUUGGUGGGGUAAAGGCCUACCAAGGCGACGAUCUGUAGCGGGUCUGGGUGGAUGAUCCGGCAGACUGGGACUGAGACACGACCCAGACUGCUAAGGGAGGCUGCAGUGGGGAAUAUUGGACAAUGGGGGGAACCUUGAUCCAGCCAUGCCGAGUGUGUGAAGAAGGCCUUAUGUUUGUAAAGCACUUUAAGCGAGGAGGAGGCUCUUUUGGUUAAUACCCAAGAUGAGUGGACGUUACUCGCAGAAUAAGCACCGGCUAACUCUGUGCCAGCCGCCGCCGUAA